rnacentral:tRNA from 1 species
UAGCUCAGUGGUAGAGCACUUGCCUAGCAAGUGCAAGGCCCUGGGUUCGAUCCCCAG